UACCAGCACCCCGAGUGGGCGGGACGAUUAUUGGGCCUAAAGCAUCCGUAGCCGGUUUUACAAGUCCUCCGUUAAAUCCAGCUGCUUAACAGAUGGGCUGCGGAGGAUACUAUAAGACUAGGAGGCAGGAGAGGCAAGCGGUACUCAGUGGGUAGGGGUAAAAUCCGUUGAUCCAUUGAAGACCACCAGUGGCGAAGGCGGCUUGCCAGAAUGCGCUCGACGGUGAGGGAUGAAAGCUGGGGGAGCAAACCGG
rnacentral:rRNA from 1 species